UACGUAGGGUGCGAGCGUUGUCCGGAAUUAUUGGGCGUAAAGAGCUUGUAGGCGGUUUGUCGCGUCUGCUGUGAAAAUCCGGGGCUCAACCCCGGACUUGCAGUGGGUACGGGCAGACUAGAGUGUGGUAGGGGAGACUGGAAUUCCUGGUGUAGCGGUGAAAUGCGCAGAUAUCAGGAGGAACACCGAUGGCGAAGGCAGGUCUCUGGGCUGUAACUGACGCUGAGGAGCGAAAGCAUGGGGAGCGAACAGG
rnacentral:rRNA from 1 species